rnacentral:lncRNA from 1 species
GAGAUAUAUCUAAAGGGAAAAAUAUAGUCACUCAAAAUAAACCUGAAAUACCAAAGUAAAAGAAUUACAACCUCAACCAUAUAUUUUCAAAAUGAUAUACACCAAAUAUACAAAGAUCAGAAUCAUUUGCACCUCCCCAAAUACAUACAUAUUCUGAAUUACUUAACCAAGAAAAACAGACAUACAAAUAUGUUGCCGAAAAAUACAUUGAAAAUAUAUACACCUUACAAACCAUGUUAAAUACCAAACCUAUUCA